AAAUUUUAAAAAACAACUUUUUGGGGGGCAAUUAUUAAACAGGAAAUAUUUUAAACUAUGUGCAAAAAGACCUUAUCAGUGAUCAUCAUAGGUGAAUAAAUGUAUGGGAGUUACUCUGAACAUAAAAAACACUCUGCAAGUGCUAUAAUUUGCCAUGUUAUCAUUAAAACAUUUUUUUUUUUUUUAAUUUAGAUGAAAAUGAAAAAGAAUCCAGGAACAUUAAGAAAGCACCUGAGAAGGAACUUUGUGCUCGAAAGUCACAAUAAUAAUGAGCUGCUGACAGAAAUAUCAUAUGACAAUAACGAAAUUAGCAAUGAACAAAGUGAAAAUGAAGAUGGAAAAUUUAGCACACCAAUAGAAUUACUAGGAGAGCUCCUGAAAGCAAUUUUGAAUGGAAACUACAGUCUCUCAAAAAACCUUUGUCAGAUGAGUAAAUAUUACCUCGAGGGUGAUUACAUUGCAGCUGAGGUAAUCAGACUGACUUCUCUCCAUAGACGUUAC
ensembl:lncRNA